rnacentral:lncRNA from 1 species
CCCAACCUGGCACAGAGUAGGCGCCUAGGCAGUGUGGAUGGAUCGACGGCUUGUUUCCUUCCCUUCCUGAGCACAGGGCAGAGACCCGAGCUCCCGAGGACGGCCACGCCACGCCGGCUUUGGGGAGCCCCCCCCAACUUCUCCGAAUCAACUUGGGAGGAAAGAGGGGGCCUCGAGGGAAGGGGGAAGAGAGGCCUGGGCGGCUGGGCCAGAGCCGGGCCAAGAGGCGGGGGGGCGGGGGGGGAGACGACAGUACAAUGUCCAACGCACCCCCUCAGGAUAUUAGGGGUCUCAGGAGCCACACGGACCCCUGGAGGGCUGGGGCCGGGGGGGGGGGGAAACUGGCUUGGGUCACGUGGGGCCCAGCGCGGGACGUGGAGGAAGGAGGUCGCGAGUCUCGGACCAGAACGACAAGCACCCCAUUCCCAGAAUUCCCCGAGCCGGGCGACCUCUCAUAUCCGUGCCUCCCGCUGUAUUGUGGGAAAGGUAGUUCCGGGGUUUGGUCUGCGCAAGCCCAGCUGGGGUGGGCGAGACGCGUGUCCGAAGCCGUGCGCAUGCGUGCUAUCCGGAUUGCCCAGGUCACUACCUGCGCGUGCCAGCGUGGGCUCCUGCACCAGAAGGGGUGACCCUCCCAUCUGCCUGGCCGCACUCAGCAGGAUGGCCUUCGCCCCAGCUUGGCCACCUGGGCGGAGAGGACAGCACGGACCCCGGGCACCAGAGCAGGGACGACCACGGAGGAUGUCUGAGGACCCAGACUCUGCCCUCCCCCGAGAGAUGAGCGGAGGUCGGCACAAGGAGGGAGCGAUCUCUGGGCUCCCGGCAGCCCCCGGCUUGGUGAGUGGACGGUCCUCGGUAGAGUGUGGAUCCCCCUGCGGUCCUCGAGCCCCUGCCCCCAAGUGGGAUACUUGCAGAGUCCACCCAUCCCCGCAGCCAGGAGGGUGCUUGGGAGUCAGCCAGCGGAGGGGGAGACCGAAACCCCCAAUGACAGAUCAAGACCAGAACCUGGGUCUCCCGGUCUGGAACCCAGACUUUAUCUGUUGCCUGCUCUGACCUCAGGAGUCUUCCUUCCCUCCUUCACUCCCUCUCUCCCUCCUUGAUUUCUUCCUUCCUUCCCUCUUUCCUUCUUCCCUCCCUCUCUUCCUCCUUCUCUUUCUCCUUCCUUCCUUCCCUCUCUCUCCGUUCUUCCUCCCUCCCUCUCCCCCCCUUCCUCGCUUCCUCCUUCCUCCCUCUCUCCUUCUCUCUCUCC